GAGUAGCUGGGUCUACAGGCGUGCACCACCAUGCCCAGAACGCUGUAACUGUUUCAUAUAAUAUUGGUUCAGGAAACGGGAAAGGUACUUUGACCAAAUAUUUUAUAAGUUUCAGUAUCAGUUUCUCAUUUUCUGAAUUCUGAAGUUUAAACCCUCCUACUUAAAGAAGAAGAUGAAGCAGUGAUUCGUAAGAGACAUCCUUGGGAAGUUGCAUUUGAGUUGAAGAAAUACAUUGCCUCAUCCUACGUUGCUAUUGAGUACAGUAAGAACAUGAGGUCAACCGGCAACCAUGUGAGAGAACUUGGAGGCAGAUUCUCUGAAGCCACACCAGGAUUCCUGACCA
rnacentral:lncRNA from 1 species